CACUAUCGUUAACUGAAUACAUAGGUUAACGAGGCGAACCGGGGGAACUGAAACAUCUAAGUACCCCGAGGAAAAGAAAUCAACCGAGAUUCCCCCAGUAGCGGCGAGCGAACGGGGAGCAGCCCAGAGUCUGAAUCAGCUUGUGUGUUAGUGGAACGGUCUGGAAAGUCCGACGGUACAGGGUGAUAGUCCCGUACACCAAAAUGCACAGGCUGUGAACUCGAAGAGUAGGGCGGGACACGUGGUAUCCUGUCUGAAUAUGGGGGGACCAUCCUCCAAGGCUAAAUACUCCUGACUGACCGAUAGUGAACCAGUACCGUGAGGGAAAGGCGAAAAGAACCCCGGCGAGGGGAGUGAAAAAGAACCUGAAACCGUGUACGUACAAGCAGUGGGAGCACCUUCGGGUGUGACUGCGUACCUUUUGUAUAAUGGGUCAGCGACUUAUAUUCUGUAGCAAGGUUAACCGUAUAGGGGAGCCGCAGGGAAACCGAGUCUUAACUGGGCGUUAAGUUGCAGGGUAUAGACCCGAAACCCGGUGAUCUAGCCAUGGGCAGGUUGAAGGUUGGGUAACACUAACUGGAGGACCGAACCGACUAAUGUUGAAAAAUUAGCGGAUGACUUGUGGCUGGGGGUGAAAGGCCAAUCAAACCGGGAGAUAGCUGGUUCUCCCCGAAAGCUAUUUAGGUAGCGCCUCGUGAAUUCAUCUUCGGGGGUAGAGCACUGUUUCGGCUAGGGGGUCAUCCCGACUUACCAACCCGAUGCAAACUACGAAUACCGAAGAAUGUUAUCACGGGAGACACACGGCGGGUGCUAACGUCCGUCGUGAAGAGGGAAACAACCCAGACCGCCAGCUAAGGUCCCAAAGUCAUGGUUAAGUGGGAAACGAUGUGGGAAGGCACAGACAGCCAGGAUGUUGGCUUAGAAGCAGCCAUCAUUUAAAGAAAGCGUAAUAGCUCACUGGUCGAGUCGGCCUGCGCGGAAGAUGUAACGGGGCUAAACCAUGCACCGAAGCUGCGGCAGCGACACUAUGUGUUGUUGGGUAGGGGAGCGUUCUGUAAGCCUGCGAAGGUGUGCUGUGAGGCAUGCUGGAGGUAUCAGAAGUGCGAAUGCUGACAUAAGUAACGAUAAAGCGGGUGAAAAGCCCGCUCGCCGGAAGACCAAGGGUUCCUGUCCAACGUUAAUCGGGGCAGGGUGAGUCGACCCCUAAGGCGAGGCCGAAAGGCGUAGUCGAUGGGAAACAGGUUAAUAUUCCUGUACUUGGUGUUACUGCGAAGGGGGGACGGAGAAGGCUAUGUUAGCCGGGCGACGGUUGUCCCGGUUUAAGCAUGUAGGCUGGUUGUCCAGGCAAAUCCGGAUAAUCAAGGCUGAGGUGUGAUGACGAGGCACUACGGUGCUGAAGUAACAAAUGCCCUGCUUCCAGGAAAAGCCUCUAAGCAUCAGGUAACAUCAAAUCGUACCCCAAACCGACACAGGUGGUCAGGUAGAGAAUACCAAGGCGCUUGAGAGAACUCGGGUGAAGGAACUAGGCAAAAUGGUGCCGUAACUUCGGGAGAAGGCACGCUGGUGUGUAGGUGAAGUCCCUGCGGAUGGAGCUGAGACCAGUCGAAGAUACCAGCUGGCUGCAACUGUUUAUUAAAAACACAGCACUGUGCAAACACGAAAGUGGACGUAUACGGUGUGACGCCUGCCCGGUGCCGGAAGGUUAAUUGAUGGGGUUAUCCGUAAGGAGAAGCUCUUGAUCGAAGCCCCGGUAAACGGCGGCCGUAACUAUAACGGUCCUAAGGUAGCGAAAUUCCUUGUCGGGUAAGUUCCGACCUGCACGAAUGGCGUAAUGAUGGCCAGGCUGUCUCCACCCGAGACUCAGUGAAAUUGAACUCGCUGUGAAGAUGCAGUGUACCCGCGGCAAGACGGAAAGACCCCGUGAACCUUUACUAUAGCUUGACACUGAACAUUGAGCCUUGAUGUGUAGGAUAGGUGGGAGGCUUUGAAGCGUGGACGCCAGUCUGCGUGGAGCCAACCUUGAAAUACCACCCUUUAAUGUUUGAUGUUCUAACGUUGGCCCCUUACCGGGGUUGCGGACAGUGUCUGGUGGGUAGUUUGACUGGGGCGGUCUCCUCCCAAAGCGUAACGGAGGAGCACGAAGGUUAGCUAAUCCUGGUCGGACAUCAGGAGGUUAGUGCAAUGGCAUAAGCUAGCUUGACUGCGAGCGUGACGGCGCGAGCAGGUGCGAAAGCAGGUCAUAGUGAUCCGGUGGUUCUGAAUGGAAGGGCCAUCGCUCAACGGAUAAAAGGUACUCCGGGGAUAACAGGCUGAUACCGCCCAAGAGUUCAUAUCGACGGCGGUGUUUGGCACCUCGAUGUCGGCUCAUCACAUCCUGGGGCUGAAGUAGGUCCCAAGGGUAUGGCUGUUCGCCAUUUAAAGUGGUACGCGAGCUGGGUUUAGAACGUCGUGAGACAGUUCGGUCCCUAUCUGCCGUGGGCGCUGGAGAAUUGAGGGGGGCUGCUCCUAGUACGAGAGGACCGGAGUGGACGCAUCACUGGUGUUCGGGUUGUCAUGCCAAUGGCACUGCCCGGUAGCUAAAUGCGGAAGAGAUAAGUGCUGAAAGCAUCUAAGCACGAAACUUGCCCCGAGAUGAGUUCUCCCUGAGACUUUAAGUCUCCUGAAGGAACGUUAAAGACGAUGACGUUGAUAGGCCGGGUGUGUAAGCGCAGCGAUGCGUUGAGCUAACCGGUACUAAUGAACCGUGAGGCUUAACCUU
rnacentral:rRNA from 2 species